ACUGCAUUCCCUCUGGAAGGAAACAAAACAAAACAAAACUCACUCAAAACCAGCAGUGCUGCUAUCAGAUAAGUAGAUGUCAAUGUAUACUUACAAGGAAAAACUAAAAAAUGUAAUGUGUUAAUUCAGCCUUUUUCUAUGUAAUAUUUCCAAGUCAGACUUUCUUACAUUCCUGGAAUUUACUUUGAUAUACCAAGAAUAAUAAUGAUAAAAUGUUUGCUUUGAUUACUGUGGGGGGA
rnacentral:lncRNA from 1 species